GCCUGCCCUGUGACAAUGUUUAACGGCCGCGGUAUUUUGACCGUGCGAAGGUAGCGUAAUCACUUGUCUUUUAAAUGAAGACCUGUAUGAAAGGCAUCACGAGAGUUUAACUGUCUCUAUUUUCUAAUCAAUGAAAUUGAUCUUCUCGUGCAGAAGCGAGAAUAUUACCAUUAGACGAGAAGACCCUAUGGAGCUUCAAACACUUAAAUUAAUUAUGUAAAAUAUAACCCCCCAGGGGAAAAAUCAUUCAUAUAAUAUUCCUAAUUUAACUGUUUUUGGUUGGGGUGACCGAGGGGGAAAGAAAAUCCCCCUUAUCGACUGAGUACUAAGUACUUAAAAAUUAGAACGACAGUUCUGAUUAAUAAAACAUUUACCGAAAAAUGACCCAGAUUUUUCUGAUCAAUGAACCAAGUUACCCUAGGGAUAACAGCGCAAUCCUUUCCCAGAGUCCCUAUCGCCGAAAGGGUUUACGACCUCGAUGUUGGAUCAGGACAUCCUAAUGGUGCAACCGCUAUUAAGGGU
rnacentral:rRNA from 1 species